rnacentral:rRNA from 1 species
AGCAGCCACCAUUUAAAGAGUGCGUAAUAGCUCACUAGUCGAGUGACCCUGCGCCGAAAAUGUACCGGGGCUAAACAUAUUACCGAAGCUGUGGACUACACCAUUAGGUGUAGUGGUAGGAGAGCGUUCUAAGGGCGUUGAAGGUCGAUCGUGAGGACGGCUGGAGCGCUUAGAAGUGAGAAUGCCGGUAUGAGUAGCGAAAGACAGGUGAGAAUCCUGUCCACCGUAUGACUAAGGUUUCCUGGGGAAGGCUCGUCCGCCCAGGGUUAGUCGGGACCUAAGCCGAGGCCGAUAGGCGUAGGCGAUGGACAACAGGUUGAUAUUCCUGUACCAGUUGUUUUUGUUUGAGCAAUGGAGGGACGCAGUAGGCUAAGGAAUGCAUGCGAUUGGAAGUGCAUGUCCAAGCAAUGAGUCUUGAGUAGAGUUAAAUGCUUUACUCUCUAAGGACAAGUUGUGACGGGGAGCGAAAUAAUAGUAGCGAAGUUCCUGAUGUCACACUGCCAAGAAAAGCUUCUAGUGAGAAAACAACUGCCCGUACCGUAAACCGACACAGGUAGUCGAGGAGAGUAUCCUAAGGUGAGCGAGCGAACUCUCGUUAAGGAACUCGGCAAAAUGACCCCGUAACUUCGGGAGAAGGGGUGCUGA